GACGAACGCUGGCGGCGUGCUUAACACAUGCAAGUCGAACGAUGAACCCGGAGCUUGCUCCGGCGGAUUAGUGGCGAACGGGUGAGUAACACGUGAGUAACCUGCCCUUGACUCUGGGAUAACUGCGGGAAACUGUAGCUAAUACCGGAUACGACCCUCGGCGGCAUCGCCAGGGGGUGGAAAGAAUUUCGGUCAAGGAUGGACUCGCGGCCUAUCAGCUAGUUGGUGAGGUAACGGCUCACCAAGGCGACGACGGGUAGCCGGCCUGAGAGGGUGACCGGCCACACUGGGACUGAGACACGGCCCAGACUCCUACGGGGUGCAGCAGUGGGGAAUAUUGCACAAUGGGCGCAAGCCUGAUGCAGCAACGCCGCGUGAGGGAUGACGGCCUUCGGGUUGUAAACCUCUUUUAGUAGGGAAGAAGCGAAAGUGACGGUACCUGCAGAAAAAGCACCGGCUAACUACGUGCCAGCAGCCGCCGUAA
rnacentral:rRNA from 1 species